rnacentral:rRNA from 1 species
GACGAACGCUGGCGGCGUGCCUAAUACAUGCAAGUCGAACGCACAGUUUAUACCGUAGCUUGCUACACCAUAGACUGUGAGUUGCGAACGAGUGAGUUACGCGUAGGUAACCUGCCUGGUAGCGGGGGAUAACUAUUGGAAACACUAGCUAAUACCGCAUAAUACUAAUUAUUGCAUGAUAAUUGAUUGAAAGUUGCAACUGCAUCACUACUAGACGGCCCUGGGUUGUAUUAGCUAGUAGGUGAGGUAACGGCUCACCUCGGCGACGAUACAUAGCCGACGUGAUAGGGUGAUCGGCGGCACGGGGACUGGAACAGCGCCCAUGCUCCUACGGGAGGGAGCAGAAGGGAAUCUGAGGCAAUGGAGGAGAGUCUGGCCGAGCGACGCCGCGUGAGUGAAGAAGGUUUCCGGAUCGUAAAGAUCUGUUGUAAGAGGAGAACGGGUGUGGGAGUGGAAGGUGCACAAUGUGAGGGUAUCUUAACAGAAACGGACGGCUAAUUACGG